GAAAAAUUUAUGCUCAGAAUCUGAUGGGAAGAUUUUGGAUUCCUGUGAAGCUUUGUUUAUUUGGAAAUAGAUGAGUUUUUUUCUACUUGUGUUGUAAAGUUGAAACCCUAAAAAAAUGUGUAAUAGAGAAGUUGCCUACCUCUGAGAUAAUUUUUAUAUCGUUUGGCAUAAAACCCUCCAGCGUUUCCCCUUCUGUUCCUGUGAUAGUGUGCAUUAUGCUUUACGUGAGAUAGUGCAAUUAUGUUGUUUUUCAACUAUUAUUUCUUCAAUUAUCAUGUCUUAGAUGACUUUUAUAACAGAUGUACACAGUCCGUGACCCUAGACCACCGUGCUUGUCCCUGCGGCUCCACUGGAUGUUCCCCUCGCCAGCCAGCAUCAUGGGCUUUCCAGUAAACAUUGUUUGGGAAACUGAACUUCAUUUUGAAAGUGCAGCCCCCUCAUAAAAUCUCUAAGGUUAAAUCUGGGAACUAGGACCUGUUCAUUCUUAAGGUUUGAAUCCAGGAUGGCUGUGGGAUGGCUGUUGUUACUCCGAGGAGAGAUGCAGGUGAUCCCGCUGGUGGGAGAAAAGAAGAGGAAGAAGAGGACUUGGAGAAACAAUAAUCGUCUUGGGUGGAUGGACUUUGGCAUGGAGGAGGGCUCUGAAAUGAGUCUCAGGCUGUGCUACACUCCUGCCAGUGUGAGCUUCCUGUGGCGCCUUGACCAGCCUGGGGUGACAAGACCAGUAGUGUCAGCAGAUGGUGAUCUGGCUGUGGCUCUGAAGAUCUGGCGUGCGAUGUGAUUGGCCCCUGCAUUCGGUUGACUUAAAGAAGGAGGUUGCCUUGUUUGUGUGUGUUGGGGGCCGAGAGCAGGGAGGGAUGUGGGCAAGGGGCUUAU